rnacentral:rRNA from 1 species
CAGUAGCCGCGGGAAAACGUAGGGUGCGAGCGUUAAUCGGAAUUACUGGGCGUAAAGCGUGCGCAGGCGGUUGUGUAGGACAGGUGUGAAAUCCCCGGGCUUAACCUGGGAACUGCGCUUGUGACUGCACAGCUAGAGUGUGGCAGAGGGGGGUGGAAUUCCGCGUGUAGCAGUGAAAUGCGUAGAUAUGCGGAGGAACACCGAUGGCGAAGGCAGCCCCCUGGGCCAACACUGACGCUCAUGCACGAAAGCGUGGGGAGCAAACAGGAUUAGAUACCCCGGUAGUCCCUGUCUCUUAUAC